GGCGCGUUGGCAGAAUGGUUAUGUAGCGGAUUGCAAAUCCGUUGAAUCUGGUUCAAUUCCAGAACGCGCCU
rnacentral:tRNA from 2 species